rnacentral:misc_RNA from 1 species
ACUGCCAUUGUGUGCAUUUGUGUAUACACGUGAAGAGAAGAGAGAAGAGGAGUUAAUUUAAUCGAGAGCUUUUAUGAUCAGAUGAGACGGUAACUUCUGCAGUGAAUGCUGUUCAUCGUUGAAGUCAUGACACGGAGACCGACAAUCUCAGGGUGGCUCUUCACGAUAGGUAUAUUUCUCUCGACAAUACUGCAGUGAUAGUUGUGUGUGCCGUCUUUGGCGUGAUGCUUAUCGCUGGGACUGUGAUUGGUGUAGUCAUAUCCAAAAAGAUGGAGCAGGAAGAUUCCCGAAGAAGUGCUUGACGAGAGGCCCUAUACAACAUUGCAACAUGGAGCGAGUGUCCCACAGGAAUAUGGAGUCACAAGGAACGACAACACACAGGGGACGUGUACGUCACCGUCAACAGCAAUGUGGCGGCGGUCGGUAAAUAAUCAAGUCUGGAC